rnacentral:rRNA from 1 species
AGCGAACGCUGGCGGCAGGCUUAAUACAUGCAAGUCGAGCGCCUGUAGCAAUACAGGAGCGGCAGACGGGAGAGUAACACGUGGGAACGUGCCCUUUGGUUCGGAACAACACAGGGAAACUUGUGCUAAUACCGGAUAAGCCCUUACGGGGAAAGAUUUAUCGCCAAAGGAUCGGCCCGCGUCUGAUUAGCUAGUUGGUGGGGUAAUGGCCCACCAAGGCGACGAUCAGUAGCUGGUCUGAGAGGAUGAUCAGCCUCAUUGGGACUGAGACACGGCCCAAAACUCCUACGGGAGGCAGCAGUAGGGAAUAUUGGACAAUGGGCGCAAGCCUGAUCCAGCCAUGCCGCGUGAGUGAUGAAGGCCUUAGGGUUGUAAAGCUCUUUCGGCGGGGAAGAUAAUGACGGUACCGCAUAAGAAGCCCCGGCUAACUUCGUGCCAGCAGCCGCGGUAAU